AUAUCUGGUUGAUUCUGCCAGUAGUCAUAUGCUUGUCUC
rnacentral:rRNA from 1 species